GACGAACGCUGGCGGCGUGCUUAACACAUGCAAGUCGAACGGAAAGGCCCUGCUUUUGUGGGGUUCUCGAGUGGCGAACGGGUGAGUAACACGUGAGUAACCUGCCCUUGACUUUGGGAUAACUUCAGGAAACUGGGGCUAAUAUCGGAUAGGAGCUCCUGCUCCAUGGUGGGCGUUGGAAAGUUUCGGCGGUAGGGGAUGGACUCGGGGCUUAACAGCUUGUUGGUCGGGUAGUGGCUGACCAAGGGUUUGGCGGGUAGGCCGCCUGAGAGGGUGGACGGGCACCAUGCUACUGCGGGACGGCGCAGACGGGUACGGGAGGCAGCAGGGGGGAGUAUUACACAGCGGGCGCGAGUCUGAUGCGGAGGCGCCGCGUGCGGAAAGACGGCUUUCGGGUUGUAAACCGCUUUCGCCUGUGACGAAGCGGGAGUGACGGUAACGGGUAAAGAAGCACCGGCUAACUACGUG
rnacentral:rRNA from 1 species